UCUGAGGGCUCCCCACACGCUCGGCCUUGCUGUCAAGCACAAAAACCGUGAACUGAAAGAACAGCACAGAGAGAAUCACCACUCCCAGACGUCUGCGAGCAAUAUAUAAUUGUUGGAGCUUUUUUCUAAAGUCUUUGGCAGGUCUUCUGAGCAACUAGCUGUAAGGGAAUUUGCUGGAAAACACAAUGUUCUAAAAGAAUGUAUGGACACAAAACACCAGAACUACAACGCAUGCUGGCGCAGCUCCCCACCUGAACUACUACAAAUAACAUUGUCUCUUUGUAAAAACCACCAAUGACAAACGGCAAUAAUAAUCAAAACCAGACCUGCACCGAUUGUAUAUGAACAAAUUGAUAUGUGGAUAUUACCUAUAAUUUAUAUCUUAA